GGUAUCCGGCCUGAGAGGGUGAACGGACACACUGGAACUGAGACACGGUCCAGACUCCUACGGGAGGCAGCAGUAGGGAAUAUUGCUCAAUGGGGGAAACCCUGAAGCAGCAACGCCGCGUGGAGGAUGAAGGUUUUAGGAUUGUAAACUCCUUUUGUUAGAGAAGAUAAUGACGGUAUCUAACGAAUAAGCACCGGCUAACUCCGUGCCAGCAGCCGCGGUAAUACGGAGGGUGCAAGCGUUACUCGGAAUCACUGGGCGUAAAGAGCGCGUAGGCGGGAUAGUCAGUCAGGUGUGAAAUCCUAUGGCUUAACCAUAGAACUGCAUUUGAAACUACUAU
rnacentral:rRNA from 1 species